GUCUGCAAGAUGCAGGUCCAGGAUUAGACCUACGUUAAGGGGGUGAUGAAACCCACAGGUGAGCGCCAGCCUGUUGCUCUGUCGUCUAUCUUUAAGGAACGACAUGAGUGGAUUUGUCAGAUCGAGUGAGCUAGACGUAAAAAGCCCCUUUAACAUGACCGAAGCCAACAUUACCCCAUCUGGG
rnacentral:sRNA from 1 species